rnacentral:rRNA from 1 species
AUUGAACGCUGGCGGCAGGCUUAACACAUGCAAGUCGAGCGGGGUGAUGGUGCUUGCACUAUCACUUAGCGGCGGACGGGUGAGUAAUGCUUAGGAAUCUGCCUAUUAGUGGGGGACAACAUCUCGAAAGGGAUGCUAAUACCGCAUACGUCCUACGGGAGAAAGCAGGGGAUCACUUGUGACCUUGCGCUAAUAGAUGAGCCUAAGUCGGAUUAGCUAGUUGGUGGGGUAAGGGCCUACCAAGGCGACGAUCUGUAGCGGGUCUGAGAGGAUGAUGCGCCACACUGGGGCUGAGACGCGGCCCAGACUCCUACGGGAGGCAGCAGUGGGGAAUAUUGGACAAUGGGGGGAACCCUGAUCCAGCCAUGCCGCGUGUGUGAAGAAGGCCUUAUGGUUGUAAAGCACUUUAAGCGAGGAGGAGGCUCUUUUGGUUAAUACCCAAGAUGAGUGGACGUUACUCGCAGAAUAAGCACCGGCUAACUCUGUGCCAGCCGCCGCCGUAA